AGAAGCCUGGAGCAGCGCGUCUGGGCAGGGCCACUAGCAUGAUCGUCCCACGUAGCCACGCCUUCCAUUCUUUAUCCAAUCAGAGCCCUGACCACGACCAGGAGGAGGACGGAUCACCACAACAACGACGAAUCACCGUUGCGUCACACAUGUCCAAAGACCAGAAUGGAAACUUCCCAGAGAAGGUAGAGUAAGACAGCCAAUCAGAA